UCCCGUGUGGCUCAGUUGGUAGAGCAUGGUGUUUGCAACGCCAGGGUUGUGGAUUCGGAUUCCCACAGGGGAC
rnacentral:tRNA from 1 species